rnacentral:rRNA from 1 species
AUACGCAUCCUUUGCUGAGGAGACGGUUAACGGAGCGAAAGCGACGUUCAACCUCAAAAGAAGCAGAGGGGGCUUAGUGGUGGGGUGACUGCGUACCUUUUGUAUAAUGGGUCAGCGACUUAUAUUCUGUAGCAAGGUUAACUGUAUAGGGGAGCCGGAGGGAAACCGAGUCUUAACCGGGCGUUAAGUUGCAGGGUAUAGACCCGAAACCCGGUGAUCUAGCCAUGGGCAGGUUGAAGGUUGGGUAACACUAACUGGAGGACCGAACCGACUAAUGUUGAAAAAUUAGCGGAUGACCUGUGGCUGGGGGUGAAAGGCCAAUCAAACCGGGAGAUAGCUGGUUCUCCCCGAAAGCUAUUUAGGUAGCGCCUCGUGAAUUCAUCUCCGGGGGUAGAGCACUGUUUCGGCUAGGGGGCCAUCCCGGCUUACCAACCCGAUGCAAACUGCGAAUACCGGAGAAUGUUAUCACGGGAGACACACGGCGGGUGCUAAUGUCCGUCGUGAAGAGGGAAACAACCCAGACCGCCAGCUAAGGUCCCAAAGUCAUGGUUA